rnacentral:lncRNA from 1 species
GCAUGAUGCUGCGCAAAUUCAGCUUCCCCACCGUGGCUCUGCACUCCAUGAUGAAGCAGAAAGAACGCUUUGCCGCCCUAGCCAAGUUCAAGUCCAGCAUCUACCGGAUCCUGAUCGCAACAGACGUGGCCUCCCGGGGCCUGGACAUCCCUACGGUACAGGUGGUCAUCAACCACAACACCCCCGGGCUCCCCAAGAUCUACAUCCACCGAGUCGGCCGGACGGCCCGUGCAGGGCGGCAGGGUCAGGCCAUCACGCUGGUGACACAGUACGACAUCCACCUGGUGCACGCCAUCGAGGAGCAGAUCAAGAAGAAGCUGGAGGAGUUCUCCGUGGAAGAGGCCGAGGUGCUACAGAUCCUCACACAGGUCAACGUGGUGCGAAGAGAGUGUGAGAUCAAACUGGAGGCGGCCCACUUUGACGAAAAGAAGGAGAUCAACAAACGGAAGCAGCUGAUCCUGGAGGGGAAGGACCCUGACCUGGAGGCCAAGCGCAAGGCUGAGCUGGCCAAGAUCAAGCAGAAGAACCGGCGCUUCAAGGAGAAGGUGGAGGAGACGCUGAAGCGACAGAAGGCUGGCAGGGCUGGCCACAAGGGGCGUCCACCCAGGACACCGUCUGGGUCCCACUCAGGCCCAGUCCCCUCCCAGGGCCUGGUCUGAGCCCCACACGGCCAUCUGCCCAGUCCUUGACUCGUCCAUGGAGCUGAGGGUCGGAGGAACCUUCCUUGGGGGCAGCAGCCCUUCCCGGGGGCCUACCCAGUGCCCCACAGCAGAACCCGUGGGCGCUCGUGUUGUGCGGGCCCUGCUCCUCUGCCCCGAAACCACUGGCUGGUCCCUUCCCUGAGCCCUGGCCAAGAUUCAGGCUGCAGGGGAAGAAAGAACAUGACCGGGAGGUUGUGACCCCAACCCAAGGUCACCCCCCAGGGGUGCCGCAUACAGGAGGUGCUUAAUAAACGGGUCUUUUG